rnacentral:lncRNA from 1 species
CGAGGAUGGUUGGUACUAUAAUUUUCUCGCCAUUUGGCUGCUCAUAGGCUCUCAAGAAUCAAGGAUAUUCUUUUCAGGCAUCAAAUCAUGUCUGUCCUAUGUAGGGAAAGAAGACCUGGGUAAUGCCUUGCUAUGCCCAUAUGAGAUUACGAGCACACUGAAUUUAAGCUUUCUUCUAUCUUUGAUCAUGUUCUAACUACUAGCAUGCAUAUUAUCUUAACUUUGACAUGGGAAUUAAGUAGUUCCAAGUGUGCACAUUAUUGUGUUUAUCCAUGUGGAUGGUGCUCGUGGCAGCCAUCACCUAGGUGGCUAGGUCAAGUUGGGCUCAUCGGGCUUGCUUUACACCUCCGGCCAUGGUCGCCCUGCAGCUCCCCCAUCACGUUCCUCUUAGGUCAGCACCUAGUGCCAUGUUUGUUCUGUUGGGAAACAUUACAAGUUCAUGACCAAUACUUAGUCUAAGUUUUGUGGACCGAAGCAAGGAGGAAGAAGAUGUACAAUUCAAGCAGGUAUAGACCCAUUCAUUUUUCUCUAAACCUGACUUUAAUCAGCAAGUUGGUUAAUUCAGUGCCAAGUUACUAAUAAAAUCCAUUUUUGCUUCGUGGUGACUAUCAUCCCUUGUACGUUUGUUCCUUUGGUCUUGCACGUUUUAGUAUAUACAUAUGUUUUUGUUUUGCUUUUUUGUCCCAAUUAACAAGAACAGAACAUGUGUUGACUUUUAAAUCUAUCUUUUUAUAGAUAAAUAUAGAUAAAAGUGUCACAUCUUAUUACCGUAAUUGAAUUCAUUUUUAUAUGUUUUACCUUUUUUAGCUUAGUUCAACCAAAGAAUAUGCAACAUAAAGUAGGCCUCAGUUUAAAUUUGAACUUGAAUUACCUAUAUGAUUCGCAUGUGGAGUAAUGGGUCACCAAUGCACAAGUUUGCUGGUUGACGUCCUACCCAGUUCUACAGCAUGGACUCCUUCCAGACCGCCAACAACCCUGUCCGCCCCCAGGCAUCAGCAAGACAACACAGCAGUUGGAUGGAAUCUAUGCACACUUUGCAGUAUUGAGGCUUGCUGUUGUUGAUACAAAAGCAGGUUUUCCACAAUUUCUUGUAUCCACGUGCCUUUUUUGUAUGCUUGCUAGCACAUUUUGCCUUAAAUAUGGUUUGAUGAAUAUGCAGAUGGUGCCAUUCU